rnacentral:sRNA from 2 species
GCAGCGCUUCGUUAGGCGAGGCUCCUGCACGAAUACAGGCCACUGAUCUCACGACGUCGAGAGACGCCCAAGGUUAGGACAGGUCCUCCCGGAUUAAGGGUUGACCCAAAGUGGCUGUCGGCCGUCCGCGGUACGAACUACGUCGUGCAGUGCCAAAGCUCAACGUGGAGGCGACUU